AUUGAACGCUGGCGGCAGGCCUAACACAUGCAAGUCGAGCGGUGCGGCCGACGGGUGAGUAAUGCCUAGGAAUCUGCCUGGUAUUGGGGGAUAACGUAGGGAAACUUACGCUAAUACCGCAUACGAUUGAAUGAGCCGAGGUGUGAUUAGCUAGUUGGCGGGGUAAAGGCGCACCAAGGCGACGAUCCGUAGCUGGUCUGAGAGGAUGAUCAGCCACACUGGAACUGAGACACGGUCCAGACUCCUACGGGAGGCAGCAGUAGGGAAUAUUGGACAAUGGGCGAAAGCCUGAUCGAGCAACGCCGCGUGAGUGAAGAAGGUCUUCGGAUUGUAAAGCACUUUAAGUUGGGAGGCGGUACCAACAGAGUAAGCACCGGCUAACUUCGUGCCAGCAGCCGCGGUAAUUC
rnacentral:rRNA from 1 species